UCUCGGCCCCAUCAUUUCCUCCCUUUGCCAGAGCGCGCGGCUGCGGCCCGCGCCGUGCCCACCUUCGCUGCGCCGCAGCAAGCGUUCCAAGGCCUCCCAUGCCCACGCCGGCACGCCAUUCUCCACACUGGACCUUCCACUAAGCCAUGCUCCUCCUCACAAGGCUGGCCAAACCCGGGUGCUGCUCUCCGACGACCUCCCCGCGUGUCGCCCAUGCCGCUCUCGGGUGGAACCGGUUCUUCCACACCGGCGACGCACACAAUGUGUUCGGUGCGAUGCCUGCACCGGACCACAGGCAGUGCAGUGAGCUGCUCAGGGCGCGCACCGCGAGCGGGGAUCACUACGGGUCCGUCUGCCUCGUCCGCGGGAUGCUCGGGCGGGACCUCCGGCCCGACAGGCUCGCGCUCGCCGCGGCGAUCAAGUCGGCGUCGGCGCUCCCCGACAGCGGUGCCCUGGGGAGGUGCCUCCACGGGUUUGUUGUCAGGCUCGGGAACGCCGCGGGCGUGGCUGUGGCGAAGGCGAUCAUGGACAUGUACGGGAGGCGUGGGGCUCUGACGGACGCCCGCCUGGUGUUUGAUGAAAUGGGCUGCCCUGACGCGGUUUGUUGGAACAUCCUGAUCACUGGGACCUCCCGGGCUGGGCAUUUUGACGACGUAUUUGCCUUGUUCCGGUCUAUGCUUGCGUGUGGUGUAGAUGAAAGCAUGCCGACUGCGGUAACGGUGGCUGUCGUCAUUCCGGUAUGUGCAAAACUGAGAGAUUUGACGGCUGGGAGGAGUGUCCAUGGCUAUGUCGUCAAGACUGGGUUGGAAUCUGAUACGUUGUGUGGGAAUGCAUUGGUAUCAAUGUAUGCAAAAUGUGGUGCAGGUGGAAUCACGGAUGAUGUGCAUAGAGCCUUUUCUUCAAUUCAUUGCAAGGAUGUUGUUUCUUGGAAUUCGAUUAUCGCAGGAUACUCUGAGAAUGGGUUGUUCGAAGAAGCACUCGUACUAUUUGGUCAGAUGAUCUCAGAGGAAUGUCUUCCGAAUUAUUCAACAGUAGCCAAUAUUCUUCCUGUAUGCUCGUUUAUGGAGUAUGGGAGGAACUAUGGCAAAGAAGUGCAUGGUUUCGUGUUCCGGUUUGGCUUAUAUAUGGACAUGUCUGUUUGUAAUGCGCUGAUGACUCAUUAUUCCAAGGUGUGUGAAAUGAGGGUUGUGGAAUCAAUAUUCAGAAGUAUGAAUUCAAGAGAUAUUGUUACGUGGAACACAAUAAUUGCUGGAUAUGUGAUAAACGGGUGCAACUCUAGGGUGUUAGGCCUGUUCCGUAGGCUUCUGUCUACAGGAAUGACCUCUGAUUCUGUUUCUUUCAUUAGUCUGCUCACUGCUUGUGCUCAAGUAGGUGAUGUCAAAGGAGGGAUGGCAGUUCAUGGUUAUAUUUAUCGGCAUCCAGUACUUCGUCAGGAAACAUCCUUAAUGAAUGCUCUUAUUAGUUUCUAUAACCAGUGUGACAGAUUUGAUGAUGCUCUUCAUUCUUUUGCUGAUAUUUUGGACAAGGAUUCAGUAUCAUGGAAUGCAAUUCUAUCGGGCUGUGCUAACAGAAAAGAACAUAUUGAGGAGUUCGCCAAACUCUUCUGUGAAAUGUGCCGCAAGGUAACUCGUUGUGACUCUGUCACAAUCUUAAAUUUUAUCCGCAUGAGUACCUUCUGUGGUGCUAAGAGGGUUCGGGAAGCUCAUGGAUAUUCCUUGCGAGUUGGUUAUAUUGGGGAAAUAUCAGUUGCAAAUGCUAUUCUCGAUGCAUAUGCAAAGUGUGGUCAGCCGCAGGAUGCAGAUACACUUUUCAGAAACCUAGCCGGUCGGAACAUUGUAACAGGCAAUACUAUGAUUUCUUGCUACCUGAAAAAUAACAGUGUAGAGCAAGCUGAGAGAAUCUUCAAUCAAAUGCCUGAGAAGGAUAGGACAACAUGGAAUCUCAUGAUUCAGUUGUAUGCACGCAAUAAUAUGUCUGAUCAAGCUUUCUGUCUGUUUCAUCAGUUGCAGUGUCCCGAUACUGUUGGCAUUACAAAUAUUCUCCUCGCUUGCAUCCAUUUGAGUUCGGUACAACUUGUGAAACAAUGCCAUAGCUACAUGCUCAGAGCAUCCCUAGAAGACAUCCAUCUUGAAGGAGCUCUUCUUGAUGCAUAUUCAAAGUGCGGGAAUAUAACCAAUGCAUACAAUCUAUUUCGAGUCAGCCCUAACAAAGACCUUGUCACAUUCACUGCCAUGAUAGGAGGCUAUGCAAUGCAUGGAAUGGCAGAAGAGGCAGUGGAGCUGUUUUAUGAAAUGCUUACACUUGACAUUAAGCCAGACCAUGUAGCUCUAACUGCUCUGCUGUCAGCCUGCAGUCAUGCUGGGCUUGUUGAUGCAGGAAUCAAGGUUUUCAAGUUCGCCAGAGAUAUUUACAGAGUUGAACCGACAGCAGAGCACUACACAUGCAUGGUUGACCUUCUUGCCCGCGGUGGGCGUCUCCAAGACGCAUACAGUUUUGUGUUGGAUAUGCCCCCUCACAUGGCCAAUGCAAAUGUAUGGGGCUCUCUGCUAGGAGCAUGCAAGGUCCAUGGAGAGAUCAGAAUCGGCCAGCUCGCAGCUGAUCACUUGUUCUCCAUGGAGGCCGGGGACAUAGGGAACUAUAUCAUUGUGUCAAACAUCUAUGCAGCUGAUGAGAAAUGGGACGGUGUGGAGCAUGUCAGGAAAUUGAUGAAGUCCAAGGAUAUGAAGAAACCUGCAGGAUGCAGCCAGGCACUUGUUUAUAGCCAGUGAUGUUAAUCACCAAGAUAGUUCUUUUAUCUACGACAUGGUUGGAAGUUUGUAUCAGCAAAUCAAAGAUACACAAGCUGGCAAAGAACAUUCAGUUACAACUUUCAACAUUAGUGCAAUUGAUCUGGUCACAGGGUUGCAGAAACUUGAGUUGGAGUUUUUCUUCUCAAACAUGUCUUUUGGUAGCUCUUCCGAUCCAUAGUAUUUAUCUUUCUGAGAAUUGAGACAAAUAAGUAACAUGGCUCCAGGCCACAGCAUGCAUCCUGGAGUUGAAGCAAGCAGCAAAUAUAUCAUGUGUCAUCUCCAUUGGAACUCUCUUCGGCUUUCUACUAAGUACCAACCAAGGUUCACUACUCUGGAAGUCUUGGUGACAGUUGCUGACUCACUGGCAUUAGGAAUUUCAGCAAUGUUAUCUUUUUGGGGAAAUCUGAUUGGAGGUCUGUUAACAGCGUCAGCCAGGCCGAUGAAACAACACAAGUAGCAGGAGUGAGGGUGAGAGCUCUCGUUCGGCUCGCUUGGUGUUGAUCGAAGAUAUCUGGGUGGAAAUUGGUGGAUUUCUCGAUUGGUUGAAGGAAGUAAAACAAAGGAGACCCACUACCCAGCGUCCUUUCGGCGAGUGUUGGGGUCUUACCUAUUUAAGCUAAAAUAAGGCCAUUCAAGAAGGCUGUCAACUGUAAACAUGUAUAGGCCGAAGAUCCCCAAUUCGGGGUGGGCUGCUUUCGAUCACAGGUUGCGUGGCACAGCUGAUGGAGGCGAUGAUGUUGAUGUCAACUCAUUUCCUGCUCUCUCGGGUUCUAGAGGCUCCAGUUCUGCCAGCAGCUCAGCUAUAGGAAAUAAUAAUAUGCCAAAGGCAAAGCCUUUUGCAUCAGUGAUUCGCCCCCCUGUUGAAUUUGCAGUUGUUGGUAAUGAAAAUGGAAAUAGGCAUUUGACUGAUCACAUGGUGAGAACAAAUUCUGGUGUAAACUCUGCAUCUGGUAACAAAAUUAAGCUCCUGAAGGAUGCUCAUAGUUGGGCCGACAGUAAUUUAAUUGAGGACAUAUUGGCUGGCGUGGAUAAUGAUGUUGGCCAGUCAUCUGUUUUGCUGAAAUCCAUGGUCGCUCCUGACUUUCUGCCAAGGGAGGGUAGAACAACUGGUCAAUCUCCUUUUGAGAUGAAUAAAGCACAUGGUUCAGUGUCAGGAAACACUAUAGCAGAGAAUAAACAUUCAAAUGAAUCACAACUGUUGCCACCGCAAAUGAAUUUAAUCUCUAUACCCCAGGAGCCUGAAUUAGAAGAGUUUGAUGAUGAUUACUUAAACCACCGGAAAGAUGCAUUGAAGAUGAUGAGGGCUGCCACAAAGCAUUCUCAGGCUGCCAGCAAUGCAUUCUUCAGAGGUGACCAUGCUGCUGCCAAGGAACUCUCCCUCAGAGCUCAAGAAGAGCGGUUGGCUGCUGAAAAGUUAAAUAAUAAGGCAGCAGAAGAAAUAUUUCAUCUCAGGAACAGCAACAAUAACAUUUGGAAGAUAGACAUGCAUGGUCUACAUGCAUCAGAGGCUGUAACUGCAUUGGAGAGGCAUCUUCACAUGUUAGAGUUCCAGCCACCAGGGAAUAAUCCAACUUCAACUGAUGAAUUAGAUAAGUCUGAACCCACAAUUGCUGUCCCAAAUGAGGUUGCAGCAGAGAAAGUGGUGGUGUUUCUUCGCCCUAGACAGUCUGUCUUAGAGGUGAUCACAGGGAUUGGCAGGCACAGCAAAGGACAGGCUUCACUGCCUGCUGCAGUCAGGGGCUUCCUUAUUGAAAAUGGGUACCGAUUUGAGGAGCAGAGGCCUGGUGUUUUCUCUGUUCGCCCUAAAUUUCGCCGCGGGUAAACCUGUGCAAGACUGAAACCAUUCCAUCAAGUUCCGUUGUUCGGCAAAUAAAUUUCUGUGAAAUGUGCUGUCAACGAAAUAGAACAUAGGAAUUUGGGCAACUCGUAGUUCGUGUAUCUUGAAUGUGGGAACUAGGCGUCGACCAGUUGGCUAGUGAUGCGCUACCGGCUGCCCGCCCAGCCUUUCACCAUCGUCCGAGCCUUGUGUUCCGCAGGGUGUGUGUGCCUGAUUUUAAUUUUUCUUAACAAAUUGUCGUAGGGGCUAGUCCGUAUGGGUCUCCUUUUUUUUUGUAUCUUGAAUGUAACAAGUUUUACAGAUACUAAUGUUAUUGUGUAGCCAUCUGACAAGAGAUGCAUAAUUGUAUGUAACUAUAUACAAGAUGACAAUCAAGGCCACAAUGUACUGUUAUUUUGCUUACUGCUGCAACCAAGGUUUCUGAUUACUCUA